UGGGGAAUAUUGGACAAUGGGCGAAAGCCUGAUCCAGCCAUGCCGCGUGUGUGAAGAAGGUCUUCGGAUUGUAAAGCACUUUAAGUUGGGAGGAAGGGCAUUAACCUAAUACGUUAGUGUUUUGACGUUACCGACAGAAUAAGCACCGGCUAACUCUGUGCCAGCAGCCGCGGUAAUACAGAGGGUGCAAGCGUUAAUCGGAAUUACUGGGCGUAAAGCGCGCGUAGGUGGUUUGUUAAGUUGGAUGUGAAAUCCCCGGGCUCAACCUGGGAACUGCAAUCAAAACUGACUGACUAGAGUAUGGUAGAGGGUGGUGGAAUUUCCUGUGUAGCGGUGAAAUGCGUAGAUAUAGGAAGGAACACCAGUGGCGAAGGCGACCACCUGGACUAAUACUGACACUGAGGUGCGAAAGCGUGGGGAGCAAACA
rnacentral:rRNA from 1 species